rnacentral:rRNA from 1 species
GAUGAACGCUGGCGGCGUGCCUAAUACAUGCAAGUAGAACGCUGAAGGAAGGAGCUUGCUCUUUCCGGAUGAGUUGCGAACGGGUGAGUAACGCGUAGGUAACCUGCCUGGUAGCGGGGGAUAACUAUUGGAAACGAUAGCUAAUACCGCGUAACAGUAGAUAUUGCAUGAUAUCUGCUUGAAAGGGGCAAUUGCUCCACUACCAGAUGGACCUGCGUUGUAUUAGCUAGUUGGUGAGGUAACGGCUCACCAAGGCGACGAUACAUAGCCGACCUGAGAGGGUGAUCGGCCACACUGGGACUGAGACACGGCCCAGACUCCUACGGGAGGCAGCAGUAGGGAAUCUUCGGCAAUGGACGGAAGUCUGACCGAGCAACGCCGCGUGAGUGAAGAAGGUUUUCGGAUCGUAAAGCUCUGUUGUAAGAGAAGAACGAGUGUGAGAGUGGAAAGUUCACACUGUGACGGUAUCUUACCAGAAAGGGACGGCUAACUACGUGCCAGCAGCCGCGGUAAUACGUAGGUCCCGAGCGUUAUCCGGAUUUAUUGGGCGUAAAGCGAGCGCAGGCGGUUAGAUAAGUCUGAAGUUAAAGGCUGUGGCUUAACCAUAGUACGCUUUGGAAACUGUUUAACUUGAGUGCAAGAGGGGAGAGUGGAAUUCCAUGUGUAGCGGUGAAAUGCGUAGAUAUAUGGAGGAACACCGGUGGCGAAAGCGGCUCUCUGGCUUGUAACUGACGCUGAGGCUCGAAAGCGUGGGGAGCAAACAGG